rnacentral:lncRNA from 1 species
UUUGGGCCAUGCUUGGACGUGACGAUGACUUAAUCCUCAAAGCAUAUAAUCAGGCCGAUGCUUCUAUCACCCAAAAAUCCUAGUAAUAAAUCUUUCAUCUCUCUAUAUGUUACACACGGCAAGGACACACCAGGCCCAUUAGGUGUCAUCUUUAAAUAACGAGCUAUUCUGCCCUAGGUGCUCUGUUGAUCAUAUGUGCCGCCGCCGCCGCUGCAACCCCGGCAAGCUGCUUGUCGUCCAUGAUGAAGGCCAUAGGCCGACUUGCACUUAACCUCCUAGGCUUUGGUGUAAACGAGAUCAUCUUCUAGCUACAGCGGCAAAUCGUCGAAUUUUCUGGUUUGCUCUCCAACGACGCAAUUCAUCAGCGCCAUCCUCGUUUUCCCUCGGCUUUAUUGCAUCCCAAUAAUCAUUGGUGAGAAUUCCAGACUUGACGAUGCUCGUUUUCUACCCAUCUGCUACUGCUAUUUAUAUGCUCAUGACCAUGUUUCAAGCUACGGCAUGCGACGAGCAAGUCCAAGCCGCCGCCGGUGCACUCUCCCGAUCGAAGCCGGACUCAUCGAACCCCGAGAUGGACACUGACAAGUUAGUUGUGGACGCCUGGAGCUCUCCCUAUCCAUGAUAAACACUUUGGUGAGAUCUCCAUCAUCUGCUCUUGAUCCUUAGAGUCAGUGAAUUAUGCUUAGCAACAGCCAUUGCCGGUUCCAAAUGCAAUUGGUAGCUUGAUGACAUCAUACUGACAUCAUGAUGACGCAGAUGAAUUUUGUUGCCGUUUUUCUUUAGAAAAACAAAUCUAGAAAUACAAAGAAAAUACACUAGUUUGUUUAGGCCAUAUCUUCUCCGCUUGAACUCCGUUUUAUUCCAUUCAAAUUGCGUUAGGUUCAUAAUCAUGAGCUCUACAUGUUAGUAAAAUUGUUUACUCAGUUUGAAACUUUUUUAUUUCGUGACCCUAUUUAAUUAAUUAUUUUUAUAUAUAAAAUCUUAGAAAAUUCAUAUCUUCUCCGUUUUAGCUCGGAUUUUCGUGAUCUUUAUGUUUGUGUGAGCGUAGCGCUGCGUAGAAUAUUUUCGUAAACUUUUAUCUUUGAUUUCUCACUGUUGGUGUAAUGUUCUAAUUAUAGCUUGUUUGCUUUGUGUAUGAUUGUCUACAUUCGAUUGCGUGUUGUUGAUUGAUGUUUGGGAAUAGACGGUGAGCCGUACGUUGUUGAUCAAGAUCGAGCCUUUGAAGACCAGCAGGCUCAGGAGAGCUUUGAUCAAGGCAAGUAUAACUUGGGAUCAUCCUUGUUAUCUAUACACAAUUAACACAAUAUACCAUAUGCAUGUGUCCACCUUGAUGACCUUAGCAAAAUCAUAGAUGAUUGCUAUCCUGAAUUCCUUGUUACCUAUUUGGAUAUGCAUUUGGGUAGUUCUUGCUAGUGCUUGAUUAUUAUAAUCCAUGAUCUUGUAACAUGAAUAUUUGAAUAUACAAUAAACAAUAAAAUAAGCUUUCUAGCAACUUGAAUAUAAAGGGUGGAAAGAACUCUGGCUUUUGUUGGAUUGAUCUUGACUCUCCAUAAGGACUUAUCCCUUGGCAAAAGCUGGGACAACUCGUACAACCAUGAGGGCUAUAUGGCUCUGGCUUUAGCUCAGUAUGAAGAACUUUUCUAGCUUGUUAGAGGUUACCCGAAAGGGCGGAGGGGCUGAACCGUUUUGGGUAUAGUGCAAGCCCCUGUCCUUAUGUGUAUAGGCUGCGCGUCAUUGUGCCAUUUGGAAGGGGGGUAUCUAUAUCUGCGCGCAAAGGAAACCUUGCGGCCCUAACAUGUUAGACGAACUUUUGAAAGGCUUCAUAGUGAUCCCUGCCGACCUCCCUAGGAAGGGGGUUAAGAGACUAGCUACCUCGGGCGAAAGGGUAAAUCAUGACUCAUGGGUAAAGAUGUACAACCUCUGCAGAGUGUUAAAUCUGGUAUACUAGCCGUGCCCACGGAUACGGGCGGCCCGGAAAACUGACGGAAUAGAUGGACACUGAUGAACAUGAUUAAUGAUGAUAAAUGAUAGUUUAUUAUGUUGUUUAUAUGUGUUAUUCAUAAUUCCUGUAUACAAUUGAUCAUGUGGCUAUGGGAUUAAUUAUGCUACCUUGACAUUUGCUAUCCAAUGAUUAAACAUGCUAUCAACUAUUAAAAGCUAAAUGCAAUCAAACCAGUGUCAGCUAUUUGAGCCUCAUGAACCCCUGGUUAUACUUGUUGAGUUCGAUAUGGACUCACUCUUGCUAUUUCUCCUACACUUCAGGAGAUGUUAGGCUUGUGAUCAACCAGUCAGUUGGAUCGAGUGAAGUUAAUACCCGAAGGUUGGAGUUGUCUACCCGUUGUUUGUUAUCAAAGGUUAUAUCUUUUAUACUAAGUACGUUUUAUAUUUAUGCAUUGUCUUUUGAUAUUACCCCUUAAUUGUAGCUAUAUGUGAGAUUUGUUUUCUAAAACUCACAUAUGGUGCAUAUCUGGUUUUGUCCUUAAAAUCGGGUAUUACAG